rnacentral:rRNA from 1 species
AUUCGUAGUCAUAUGCUUGUCCCAAAGACUAAGCCAUGCAUGUCCGAGUUAAAGCCGUAGAAAAAGUGAAACUGCGAAUGGCUCAUUAAAUCAGUUACCGUUCACUUGAAGAAUGAAAUGCUACAUGGAUACCUGUGGCAAGUGGAGAGCUAACACAUGCACGUAACGUCCCAACUCAAGAGUGGAUGUGCUAGUUAGACUGCAAACCAACCGGGGUCAAACCCGACCGGUGAUGCAUACGCUUAUCAUUCGGAUCGCACGUCCUCGCGACGGCGACGCUUCAUUCAAGUAACUGCCCUAUCACGUUGUCGGUAGUGUCUUGGACUACCGAGCGGGUCACGGGUAACGGGGAAUCAGAGUUCGAUUCCGGAGAAGGAGCAUGAGACACGGCUACUACAUCCAAGGAAGGCAGCAGGCGCGCAAAUUACCCAAUCGGCAUCGCCGGAGGUAGUGACAGUACCUAUCAAUGGGGAGCCCUCUGGGUUCCCUAAUUGGAAUGAGAUAGUCCUAAAUCACGUGUUGAGGAACUAUUGGAGGGCAAGUCUGGUGCCAGCAGCCGCGGUAAUUCCAGCUCCAACAGCGUAUAUUAAAGUUGUUGCAGUUAAAACGUUCGUAGUCGAACAUCGGAGGCGGACGGAUCACCGGACCACCCGCUCUGCGGGCCCGGCCGUCGACAGCUCUCUUACAUCCUCGCUGCGUGAACUCCGGGCGACCGGGGGGAGCCACGGGAUCUUACCUCGAACAAAUGAGAACGCUUGAGGUUGGCAAAGACUGCCAGAAUCGAUUAGCAUGGAAUAACAGAUUGACGGCGACGUCGUCUGUUGGUUGGCACAUCGCUGUAAUGGUUAAUAGGGGUGCUCGGGGCCAGCCGUACUGCCGGGGGAGGGGUGAAAUCCGUUGAUCCUGGCAAGACGAACUACUGCGAAAGCAGCUGGCAAGGGCACUUUCAUUGAUCAGGAACGAAGGUUGGGGGAUCGAAGACGAUUAGACACCGUUGUAGUCCCAACAGUAAACGAUGCCGACGCGGGCUCUGGCGUCUGAAAUCCAUUCGCUGGGGCCCGUGGAGAAAUUAGAGUCUUUGGGCUCUGGGGGGAGUAUAGUCGCAAGACCGAAACUUAAAGGAAUUGACGGAAGGGCACAACCAGGCGUGGAGCCUGCGGCUUAAUUUGACUCAACACGGGACAACUCACCAGGACAGGACAUGACGAGGAUUGACAGACUUAUAUAUCUCUCAUGAUUUCAUGGGUGGUGGUGCAUGGCCGUUCUUAGUUCGUGGAUUAAUUCGUCUGGUUGAUUCCGAUAACGAACGAGACCAGAACGUGUGGUUGGCGUCGGUACCAUGGCGCCCGCUUCGGCCCUCGUGGCCUGGGGGCUCGUCCCCCUCAGCGGGCGUCUGCCUCAUGUGUGGACUCUGAUCCGGAAACGAGGCCCGCGCCCAAUCAUGCGGACUGCCCGCGCUAUAGUGGGUGGAGGUGUCUGGCAAUAACAGGUCUGUGAUGCCCUUAGAUGUCCUGGGCCGCACGCGCGCUACACUGAUGCGACCAAUGGGCAUCGUCCUUGGCCGAGAGGCUUGGGUAAUCCUGUGAAAUCGCAUUCGUGCUGGGGAUCGAGCUUUGUGACUAUUGCUCGUGCAACUUGGAAUGCCUCGUAAUCGUGGGUCAUUAGCCCACGCUGAAUAUGUCCCUGCCCUUUGUACACACCGCCCGUCGCUACUACCGAUCGAGUGGCUUGGUGAGGAGGUCGGAUCGGCCGUCAUACCCCGGCAACGGGGGAGGUGGCUGAGAAGUCCUUCAAACUUGGUCUCUUAGAGGAAGUACAAGUCGUAACAAGGUUUCCGUAGGU